rnacentral:misc_RNA from 1 species
UGGUAUAUUUUUAUCUGAAUAUGGCAACUUUAAUAUAUUUGUUUUUUUAUUGACGAAGUUCUUUUUUGUUGUUGUUUGUCGUGUCUGUCGCAGCUCGUAGCAAUUGAUUAAAUUUCUACUGUAAGGGUAGCAUAUUUUAGUGUGCUGAUAUGUAUAAUGGAAUUGGACUACAGACCCCUCGAGGGAGUGGCACAAAUGGUUAUGUUCAAAGAAACAUGUCAUUUGUCCCCAAAAGUCGAGAGAAAGUUAAUUAUAAAACUGAAGAAGACAUUAAAAAACUUGAUGCUUUAUCGAAUAAAAAACCAAAUCAAGGGAUAUUGGCUCAUGAAAGAAAGCGCACCAUCGAACUAAAAUGUUUAGAAAUGCAAGAAUUAAUGGAAGAGCAAGGGUAUCCCGAUGAGGAAAUCGAAGCAAAGGUAGCAUUUUUUCGCAAAAUGCUCUUAGAAAAAGAUGGUGGUGGUGAAAAAGAGAUUCCAAAAGAUGAAUUUGGACGUCCUCUUGUUAAAGAAAGCCACCAAAUUGCAGAAGCCAGCCAGGAAAAAAAUGCAAAGAUGCGAGAAGCUCUUGGUAUCAGUCCAUUCUUUGUAGAAGGGAGCUCAUUGGAUCCAGAAAGGAAGUCCAAAGAAGCUGCAGCAGCUGCUGCCGAGGAAGCUAAAAAGAAAUAUACGCUUAUUCCAGAUUCAAGCAGUGAUUCUUCGCCUGAAAAAUCUCAAGAAAAGGAAAAGAAUAAGAAGAGAAAAAAGAAGAAAUCUCAUAGUAGUCGAGAAAGAGGUGAUACUGUUUCUAAGAAAAAGAAAAGUGCAAAAAGGCACAGAAAAGAACGAUCUGAAUCAGUAGAAGUUCAUAAAAAGAAAAAGUUAAAAAAACCAAGCAAAGAAAAAAACAAGCAUAAAAGCAACCAUAAGAAACAGCAUACACGUUCUAGCUCAAGUAGCUCAGCUAGUGAAAGUGACUCACAAGAGGAAGAGAGCAGUAGCAGAUCGAGUAGUAGAAACAGCAAUUCUGAAGUUGAGAGUGAUAUGCUUCGUAAAAAAUCAAAACCUUCUGCUAAAAUUGACCAGAGCCACAAAGAGCAUAGAAAAAGAAGUUCAAGUUCUGAAAGCAUUAGAUAUUCCAAAGAUUCUCGUUCAAGAAAAGAUAUUUAUGAAGCUAAAAAGGCAAAAAGGAAAAGAAAACCAUCUCAUUCUUCAUCAUCAUCCUCGUCAAGAAGCUCAUCACCAAAGCAAUAUUUCAGACUCGAACCAGUCCUGUUAAAGUCAAAGCAUAAGAAAGGUCAUCAUCAAAUAAUUGAAAUACCUACUAAUAAUGCUUUUGAACUGAAAAAAUAUGACAAGAAGAAGCGAUCUCGGCAUUCUUCUUCCAGUGUUGAGGAAUUAUCUAAGCAUGAAGGCAAAAAACGUAAAAGGUCUGAUUCUCCAACUUCAGCUAAAUCUUCAAAACACUAUUCGGGAAGGGAAACAGACAAAGGCUCUAAGCAGUCAACUUCUUAUAAAAGUUCUAGAUCAGAUAAAGAAGGGCACCAUCGUCAUUCUCCAGAGAAACAUAGACAUCAUAAAUCUAGAUCAAAUGACAGUCCUCACUUGUCACAGAAUCGAAAAGCUAGAUCUGUCUCUCCUGAUUCUGAGGAUGCUCUUCCGAAAAAAAGGAAAGAUAAUUAUCAGGAGGAAAGUGUAGAAUACACCAAAAAAUCCAGUUCAAGCAAAAAGAAACAAAGCAAAUAUGACUCUCCUUCUCCUAAGCGCAAUGGGACUUCUAAGCCUGCUACUAAAUCAUAUUCUCCUGAAUCUGAUGUCUCUAAAAAAAGUGCAAGAUCUGGCUCAUCUAAAUAUAGAAAGCAAAUUCAUGCCACUCCUCCACAAUCUCCUCCUGUUUAUAAACAUAAAAAGCAUAUUUUACAAUCACCAGAUUAUGUACCAAAUAAUGAGCCUGUUAAAAAGAGAAGUCAAAAAUCGGCCUCACCCUCUCCAUCACCUCCUCGAAAAGAAAAAUAUAAAAAAUCUCAGAAGUCAGGAAGGAACUCUUCACCAGAACAAAGCAUCAGGAAACAUAAUCGUAAGCAAAAAAGUCAGUCUCCUGUAUCUGAUAGCAAAUAUAGUAAAGAUAAAGAAUCCAAAAGAUUUCAGCAGCAAUCGAAUGGAGAGUCAGGUUAUUCAGGAAAGAAAAAGUUAGAAACAGAUACAAGAACAAAGAGUCCAAGUUAUCCCCGUACUAUUAAAAGCAAAUCUAAGCGAGAGAUUGUUGAUAGCAAUAGAUCUCUAAGUCCAGAUUCUGAUGAUGCUAAGAGACAUGUAAAGAAAAAGAAACGAUUUAGAGAAGAAGCAGAUGAGUGCAGUAGAAGUUCUAGUAGAAGUCCAUCUCAUGAAAGGAGAAAGUAUUCCGAUUCAAAGUUAGACAAAACUCACUCAUCAAAUGAAUCUCGACAGCCUCAAAGCAAAAAUUAUGCUUCAAAUUCCAAUGACACUACUCAAGUCAGUUCAUCUAAAACUAACUUACAACAUAGUCGCAGAGACUCAAACUAUGAAAUUCCAACUCGUAUUGUAAAAGACGCAGAUUCUAAGAUUCAGAAACGUAGUCGCAGUCCACAAGUUGAGACUCAGACAAUAGAAAUAACUACCCACAAAGUUAUUGUUAGUGAUCAAGAAAGUCCUAAAGCAGACAGGCCAAAUUCUUCUAGAAAGAUGAGUAGUUCUCCUUCAAAUAAACCAAAAGAACAAAGCAGCACUGUUGCUACUGAAUUGCCUGAAGAAAACAUCAGUCGAAACAAAGGUAAAUGGGUGACGGUUUCGAAUGGAGUUCAGCCAAGUAAAACUUCACCAAAUAAAGAUUUCGAUGAAGGUCCAAUUGCCAAAAAGUAUUCAACUUCACCAACAAAAGAAGUAAAUAAUUCAAGAGAUUCUGAAAGGCCAACAGUAUUUGAAAAUGAAAAUGCAUCUAAAAAAAGUGAAAAUGCUUCAAAAAGUAGUCCUCACAUAAAGAGUAGUUCGAGUCAUAGCAAGAAAGAUAGUUCUCGAAAAAUUAGGAAUUCAAGAAGUCGAAGCAUUUCACACAGUCGCAGCAGAAGUCAUAGUGUCAGAUCUAGUAGAAGUCGAAGCAGAAGCUACAGCAAAAGUCGCAGUAAAAGUUACAGCAAAAGCAGGAGUAAAAGCUACAGCAAAAGUCGCAGUCAUAGUAGAAGCCGGAGUCAUCGAGAUAGUCGCAGUAGGAGUCACAGCAGAAGUUGUUCUGCAAGUUAUAGUAGAAGUGGAAGUGUAUCAAUUUGUUCAAGGUCUCGUUCCCGCUCCUAUUCAUCUCGUUCCCGUUCACGAUCCAUAGCUCGGAGUCCGUCCAUUCCUCGACGCCGCGGCUCUCCGAGUUUUUUGGAUAAACGUCGUAUCACCAGGGCUCGAUCAGUGAGUUUUCCUCGUAAACGAAGACGUUCAAGUUCUCGCUCUUCUUCCUCUCAGUCCUUAUCUAGGUCGCCUUUCAGCCGACAUUCUUCAGUUAGCACCAGUAGCAGCAGUCUCUGGAGUAGAGUUUAUCGCCUGUACUGAAGAAAAUUAAGCUUCACGAUUCAGUUCAUGCACAUUGCACACCGUAAACAGCGCUCGAAAGAGACCGGUUCCAUAUCGACGGCCCUCACCACCCACACCUAGCAGUACUAGUUCUUGGUCUUAUCACUCUUUUUCCAGAUCUUCCUCCCCUCUACAUCCUACGAAACACUCCCCCGCUUCCAUUUCCAGCUCCAGAAGUUAUCGCAGUCGCUCUCAUUCCUGGAGUCCAAU